rnacentral:rRNA from 1 species
UACGGGGGGGGGCAAGCGUUGUUCGGAAUCACUGGGCGUAAAGGGUGCGUAGGCGGGUCUUUAAGUCAGGGGUGAAAUCCUGGAGCUCAACUCCAGAACUGCCUUUGAUACUGAAGAUCUUGAGUUCGGGAGAGGUGAGUGGAACUGCGAGUGUAGAGGUGAAAUUCGUAGAUAUUCGCAAGAACACCAGUGGCGAAGGCGGCUCACUGGCCCGAUACUGACGCUGAGGCACGAAAGCGUGGGGAGCAAACAGG